rnacentral:rRNA from 1 species
AACGAACGCUGGCGGCAUGCCUAAUACAUGCAAGUCGAGCGGACUUGAUGAGAAGCUUGCUUCUCAGAUAGUUAGCGGCGGACGGGUGAGUAACACGUAGGCAACCUGCCCUCAAGCUUGGGACAACUACCGGAAACGGUAGCUAAUACCGAAUACUUGUUUUCUUCGCCGGAAGGAAACUGGAAAGACGGAGUCAUCUGUCACUUGGGGAUGGGGCUGCGGCGCAUUAGCUAGUUGGUGAGGUAACGGCUCACCAAGGCGACGAUGCGUAGCCGACCUGAGAGGGUGAUCGGCCACACUGGGACUGAGACACGGCCCAGACUCCUACGGGAGGCAGCAGUAGGGAAUCUUCCGCAAUGGGCGAAAGCCUGACGGAGCAAUGCCGCGUGAGUGAUGAAGGUUUUCGGAUCGUAAAGCUCUGUUGCCAGGGAAGAACGCUUGGGAGAGUAACUGCUCCCAAGGUGACGGUACCUGAGAAGAAAGCCCCGGCUAACUACGUGCCAGCAGCCGCGGUAA